GGGGGUAUAGCUCAGUUGGUAGAGCAUCGGCCUUUUAAGCCGCUGGUCCUAGGUUCGAAUCCNNCUAGGUUCGAAUCCUAGUGCCCCCACCA
rnacentral:tRNA from 1 species